CCUACGGGUGGCAGCAGUGGGGAAUAUUGCACAAUGGGGGAAACCCUGAUGCAGCGACGCCGCGUGAGUGAAGAAGCGUUUCGGCGCGUAAAGCUCUGUCAGCGGGGAAGAAACACGGUUCGCGAGUGCCGCGGACGGUACCCGACCAAGAAGCCCCGGCUAACUACGUGCCAGAAGCCGCGGUAAUACGUAGGGGGCAAGAGUGAUCCGGAUGCACGGGGUGUAAAGGGAACGUAGACGGCAGGUCAAGUCUGGAGUGAAAGGCCGGGGCCCAACCCCGGAACUGCUCUGGAAACUGGCUGGCUGGAGUACAGGAGAGGUAAGUAGAAUUCCUAGUGUAGCGGUGAAAUGCGUAGAUAUUAGGAGGAACACCAGUGGCGAAGGCGGCUUACUGGACUGUAACUGACGUUGAGGCUCGAAAGCGUGGGGAGCAAACAGGAUUAGAUACCCUGGUAGUC
rnacentral:rRNA from 1 species